CUAAUUCAUGAAAAUUUUUUCAUGUUUUAUUAUUUAUUUAUUUUUUUGAGUGGGUGCUGCAUGCUAGCUAAGAAUUCCCACCAUUUCCUUCACAGGAAAUUUCUGUUCCCCCUACUAAACUCAGUACUGUCUCCUAUUGGCAUUAAAAGUACAAGGUGGCACAUAGGAGUGGGAGAUUUUGAAUCUCAUAUUACAGAGUCAUUGUUAAAUUUGAGAAUGCUAUGAGAAUGUAGUGUAGAUGAUGCCAUUUCAGUUGCUAUGGAGUAGUGGUCAGGGGAGCAGCAUGCUCGCAUAUUACAAAAACAACGAUUGUUGUGAAGCUGCAGGACAUGAAUUUUAGUGUCAUUUUCAACUAUGCCAUCAUGAUAUGGUUCUGUCGACCCACAUUGUGAAGAAAUGGGCAGAAAGUUUUGAAGCAAUGAUUUCAACAUUGAACUUGAAAUAUGCAGGAUCAAGAAAAAUGGUUCAAACUCCAGAGACUAUCCAAGCAGUAAAUGCCACGUCAAGC
rnacentral:lncRNA from 1 species